rnacentral:rRNA from 1 species
UACGGAGGUGGCAAGCGUUGUUCGGAAUUACUGGGCGUAAAGGGCGCGUAGGCGGCUAGGCAAGUCAGAUGUGAAAGCCCCGGGCUUAACUCGGGAAUUGCAUCUGAAACUGCUGGGCUUGAGUUCUGGAGGGGGUAGUGGAAUUCCCAGUGUAGCGGUGAAAUGCGUAGAUAUUGGGAGGAACACCUGCGGCGAAGGCGGCUACCUGGACGGAAACUGACGCUGAGGCGCGAAAGCUAGGGGAGCGAACGGG